rnacentral:rRNA from 1 species
UACAGAGGGUGCAAGCGUUGUUCGGAAUUAUUGGGCGUAAAGCGCGUGUAGGCGGCUUUGCAAGUCGGGUGUGAAAGCCCUCGGCUCAACCGAGGAAGUGCGCCCGAAACUGCAGAGCUUGAGUACCGGAGAGGAUGGCGGAAUUCCCCAAGUAGAGGUGAAAUUCGUAGAUAUGGGGAGGAACACCGGUGGCGAAGGCGGCCAUCCGGACGGAUACUGACGCUGAGACGCGAAAGCGUGGGGAGCAAACAGG